UACGAACCGAGCGAACGUUGUUCGGAAUCACUGGGCUUAAAGGGCGCGUAGGCGGGCUGUCAAGUCUGGGGUGAAAUCCCGCGGCUCAACCGUGGAACUGCCUCAGAUACUGACGGUCUCGAGGGAGGUAGGGGCGAGCGGAACUGUGAGUGGAGCGGUGAAAUGCGUUGAUAUUCACAGGAACUCCGGUGGCGAAGGCGGCUCGCUGGACCUCUUCUGACGCUGAGGCGCGAAAGCCAGGGGAGCAAACGGG
rnacentral:rRNA from 1 species